GAGAAAAACAAAUAAAUAAAAUUAAUGACAACAAUUAUACAAGUAGCUUCACAGUAAUGUGUUGUGUAUGUAAUUUGUUCUUGGUUACAAAUUACAAAAAGAUCAAGUCUCGAUAAAAUCUAUUUUGUUCAUUUAUUCAUUUCUAUUUUCAAAAUAUUUUUAUAGUAAAAUUAUAAAUUCCUAGUCCUAAAAGAUUAAUCUUUGAUCCAAAGACUUUAACUUUACCCAUAUAUGCAUCAUCG
rnacentral:lncRNA from 1 species